rnacentral:rRNA from 1 species
ACUCCUACGGGGAGGCAGCAGUGGGGAAUAUUGCACAAUGGGGGAAACCCCUGAUGCAGCCAUGCCGCGUGUGUGAAGAAGGCCUUCGGUUGUAAAGCACUUUCAGUAGGGAGGAAGGUAGUGUAGUUAACACCUGCAUUAUUUGUACGUUACCUACAGAAGAAGCACCGGCUAACUCCGUGCCAGCAGCCGCGGUAAUACGGAGGGUGCGAGCGUUAAUCGGAAUUACUGGGCGUAAAGCGCAUGCAGGCGGCCUGUUAAGUCAGAUGUGAAAGCCCGGGGCUUAACCUCGGAAUUGCAUUUGAAACUGGCAGGCUAGAGUCUUGUAGAGGGGGUUAGAAUUUCAGGUGUAGCGGUGAAAUGCGUAGAGAUCUGAAGGAAUACCAGUGGC